AAGAGCAAUAAGGGUGUAUGGGGGAUGCCUCGACAUAAAAAGCCGAUGAAGGACGUGGUAGCCUGCGAUAAGCCUCGGGAAGGCGGCAAACAGCCUGUGAUCCGGGGAUGUCCGAAUGGGGAAACCCGAUCUAAUGGAAGAUUAGAUCACUCAUGCAUGAAUACAUAGUGCAUGGGAGGGCACCUGGGGAAGUGAAACAUCUUAGUACCCAGAGGAAAAGAAAACGAAGAACUAACACAGAUUUUUUAUGUCACCGAUAAUACAAUUUUUUGUGUAAUCAGUGAUGUAUCAAUCUGUGUUUACAUUCCCUAAGUAGCGGCGAGCGAAAAGGGAGAAGCCUAAACUUUAUAAACUGAAGUGAUUGCAAUUCUUUGCCUUUGGGCUUGGAUGAGCGGUUACGGAAGGCUGCGGGGCCAUAUGUUUGUAAAGAGUUGAAGGAUAGUAUUAUGGUUUUCCUGCAAGAGACCUAUAAAAUUUAAUGUUUAGCAGAAUCCUGUGGAAACAGGGACCAUAGAAGGUGAUAGUCCUGUAUGUGAAAAACAUGAAUGUUUUAUUAUAUUAUUCCUAAGUACUGCGAGACUCGAGAAAUCUCGUAGGAAUCUGGCCGGACUAUCGGCCAAGGCUAAAUACUUUUUAUGAUCGAUAGUGAACUAGUACCAUGAGGGAAAGGUGAAAAGCAGCCCGGGAGGGCGAUGAAAUAAAACCUGAAACCAUAUACCUACAAGAAGCUGGAGUCCCGCUUGCGGGAUGACAGUGUUCCUAUUGAAGAAUGAGCCAACGAGUUUGUGAGUGUUGCGAGCUUAAAUCCAUAAAGGAUGAAGGCGUAGUGAAAGCGAGCGUUAACGCGCGAUAUAAGUAGCACUUGCAAGACCCGAAACCGGGUGAGCUAUCCAUGGACAGGGUGAACCUUGAGUAAAAUCAAGGGGAGGCCCGAACCCACGCGCCGUGCAACACGCGGGGAUGAUCUGUGGAUAGAGGAGAAAUUCCAAUCGAACUCGGUGAUAGCUGGUUCUCCCCGAAAUAGCUUGAGGGCUAGCGUCGGAAGAACUGCUGCGGGGGUAGAGCACUGGAUGAGACUGGGGGGAGCAAUCCUACCCAUCACAACCAAACUCCGAAUACCGCAGUCAGAUACCGGCAGUCAGACCAUGGGGGCUAAGCUCCAUAGGUCUAAAGGGAAAAAGCCCAGACCGCAAUCUAAGGUCCCUAAAUUUAAGUUAAGUGUAAAAGGUGGUGAAACGACUUAUACAACCAGGAGGUUGGCUUAGAAGCAGCCAUCCUUUAAAGAAAGCGUAACAGCUCACUGGUCAAGUUAUUUUGCGCCGAUAAUGUACCGGGGCUAAACUUAGUACCGAAGAUGCGGACCUGAUCGUGCCUCAUUGCAUUUAGAAUAAAUUUAUUUCUAAGUGUAGCGAGGUGCGAUUGGGUGGUAGGGGAGCGUUCUGUAUGCGUUGAAGCUUACCGCGUGAGCGGGAGUGGAGCGUACAGAAGUGAGAAUGUUGGCAUGAGUAGCAAAAAUGGGGGCGAGAACCCCCCACACCGUAAGUCCAAGGUUUCCUGGGCAACGAAAAUCGACCCAGGGUUAGUCGAUCCUAAGGCGAGUCCAGCCCUUUUUGCAUAGCAAUAAGGGUAAUAAUGAAUAUUAUCUUACUGCUGCGCAGUAAGGGCUGGGGUAGUCGAUGGAUGAGCAGGUUAAUAUUCCUGCACUUCUGUUUGAUUUAAGCUAACGGACGCAUUACUGGAGUCUUUGUGCGAUUUUGGCUAUUCGCAUGGCUGGUCCGAUUUAUCGGGCUGGACGCAGCUUGAACCGCAAGGGGAAAGCAAUAGAGGUAAAAGUGGUGCCUAGAAAAGGUUAGUGUAUAUCUUAUAGAAAUCGUACCGCAAACCGACACAGGUGGACGGGCAUAAGUGUGCCAAGGUGUACGAGAGAAACAUCGUUAAGGAACUCGGCAAAACAGUGGCCGUAACUUCGGGAUAAGGCCUGCCUGACCGUGCCUCAAUGUAUUUGGCGCGGAAUUAUGAAGUUCCUAACAAUAAUUUUUAGUUAUGAAAAUGUUGAUUUUGUAAUUAAAAAUUUUAAAUUCGAAAUUCCGCAAGCCGAACGCAGUGAGGUGCGGUUAGGCUGCAACAAAAGAUUCCAAGCGACUGUUUACCAAAAACACAGGUCCCUGCUAAACCGUAAGGUGAUGUAUAGGGGCUGAUGCCUGGCCAGUGCCAGAACGUUAAGGAAGUGGGUCAUCUCGAUUUAUCGGGAGAAGCUCGUGACCGAAGCGCUGGUGAACGCCGGCCGUAACUAUAACGGUCCUAAGGUAGCGAAAUUCCUUGUCGGGUAAGUUCCGACCCGCACGAAUGGCAUAACGACUUGGAAACUGUCUUGACGAUGUACUCGGCGAAAUUUCAACACGAGUGAAGAUGCUCUUUACCCGCGGCUGGACGAAAAGACCCCGUGAAGCUUUACUACAACUUGACAUUGGGGUAGAGUUCCGCAUGUUCAGAAUAGGUGGGAGGUUCGACGCAAGUCGAACCGACAGUGAGAUACCACCCUUGCGUUAUUUUAUCUCUAACCCGAGACCUUGAAUCAGGUUUUGGGGACAGUGUCUGGCGGGUAGUUUAUCUGGGGCGGAUGCCUCCCAAAAAGUAACGGAGGCGUUUACAAAGGUUGGCUUGGCCCGGAUGGAAAUCGGGUUCUAAAGUGCAAACGCAUAAGCCAGCUUUACUGGAACUCCUACAAGAGGACUAGUUGCGAAAGCAGAAGUUAGUGAUCCGACCGUUCGUAAUAGGACGGCGGAAGCUCAUCGGACAAAAGCUACUCCGGGGAUAACAGGCUGAUCCUUCCCGAGCGUCCACAGCGACGGAAGGGUUUGGCACCUUAACUUAAAUCGGGGUGCUAUUCUGAGUAAUCAGAAUACCAAAAAAUGGCUAAUAACGGUGAACUCUUAAUAGAAGAUAUACGCAGUGGUAAUUUUAUGCGGAUAUCAUUUUAUUGAGACAAUACCGUGGGAAGUCCGAAAAUAUCGGACCCCGUAACGACUAAUUCUCUGAUUUAUCAGAGAUGAGAUAGUAGGUACUCGAUAAUCGAGAAAUAAACUAUUAUCAUACGCCAUCUCCUGUUAUAUGAAUAACAGGAUGAAGAUAUAGUCUAAUGUUACUAGUAAUAGUAAAUACGACAGCGAUGUCGGCUCGUCGCAUCCUGGGGCUGGAGAAGGUCCCAAGGGUUUGGCUGUUCGCCAAUUAAAGCGGCACGCGAGCUGGGUUCAGAACGUCGUGAGACAGUUCGGUCUCCUAUCCGCCGUGGGCGUCGAGAUUUGAGAGAACCCUUCUCUAGUACGAGAGGACCGAGAAGGACGAACCUCUAGUGUGGGAGUUGUUCUGCCAAGGGCACAGCUUCGUAGCUAAGUUCGGUACGGAUAAACGCUGAAAGCAUAUAAGCGUGAAGCCGUUCUCAAGAUUAGAUCUCAUUUUAGGUUCCAGAGAGACUAUCUGGUUGAUAGGCAGCAGGUGUAAGUGCAGUAAUGCAUGUAGCCGAGCUGUACUAAUAAACCGAGCUCUUUUUCCUAU
rnacentral:rRNA from 1 species